rnacentral:rRNA from 1 species
CGCGUAGGUGGUUAGUUAAGUUGGAUGUGAAAUCCCCGGGCUCAACCUGGGAACUGCAUUCAAAACUGACUGACUAGAGUAUGGUAGAGGGUGGUGGAAUUUCCUGUGUAGCGGUGAAAUGCGUAGAUAUAGGAAGGAACACCAGUGGCGAAGGCGACCACCUGGACUGAUACUGACACUGAGGUGCGAAAGCGUGGGGAGCAAACA